rnacentral:tRNA from 1 species
GGGGCCUGUAGCUCAAUGGUUGGAGCCGUCGGCUCAUAACAGAUUGGUUGCAGGUUCGAGUCCCGCAGGGCCCACCA